CCGAAGGAGUCUUGCGGGGUUUCAGCAGCGCCGUCGCGGUAAGAUUUCAAACAUUCUCCGUCGCUAUAGCACCUGAGGACAGAAGUUGUUCAUGUUAUUUAGAGUUUUUGUUCACACCAGGAGUGAAGGCGGUAUGUGACGAGCUACAGUUCAUUGUAUUAGUAAGUUGACGGUUGUUUUUUUAAUGUUGAACAUCGCGCCCGCCGUAGACUCGGUAAAAGUUACAUGCUUCGACAGUUGGGAUACCACACUCGCUCGUGAUUAUUUUGUGUUGUAAUUCAAAUUUGCAAAUGCAGUCAUCCGUUAAAUCGAGCGCCCAAAUUAAAAUGAGUCACCAUAGCUUGAGAACACACUUGCAGGCCACUGGAUGCUGACUACUGAAGGUUAGGUUGUGUGUGACGGUGCUCAGCACAGCUUCAUGUCUGGCCUUCCCACUCUGUUCAUAGCAUGUUACAUAUUCAGGCUUGAGUACCAGGAUGGGGCAGCAUGUACUUGGAGUCCAAUGAAAGAUAUUAAUCCAGAGAGUGGAACAAGCAGCGUCAUCUAAAAUGCCAGGAUACAGAAGAAACAGGUUGCAGUGAACCCACAUGUCGCCGCUCUUCUAAACACAAUGAUGAAUAUUCAGUGUAAUCGAUGAAAAUUCCAGCUACUUGUUGUGCUCUGAUGGAUCAAGAUGUGGACCGUUUUACAGACUCACUUGGGCCUUGUUUUGCAAUGUUGUUUCAUGAUGGUAAUGUUGGUUAACGUGUUGUUUAAACAUGAGUGUUUAAAGAGCCAUGUUGGAUACUAUGAAGUUCUUACUGAAUAAAAUUAUUUCAUGUACAACAACGUACACAAUUUGUCUGUAAUGUAUUUUUGUAUCAAUUAAAAAAAAAUAAACACUGUAUAUCCAGUAUGCAAAACAUACUGGAUAUACAGUGAUUUAUGUAUUUCUUCUAAAUAAAGUAAAUUAAAAUCAAGCAAUUUGCUGUAAAAAAUACAGCAUUAUACUGUUGCUAUUCAAAAUUACAGUUUUUCCUGUAUUCUGCAAUUACAGUAAAUGGCUGUAAAUUAAAUUACAGUACUGUGGCUGUACAAUUUACAGUAACUGGCUGGCAACCCUGCUGCCAGUAGUUUACUGUAAAUUUUACAGGAUU